UUCUCUGCAGGCAGAGGAGUGCCACAGCUGUAGCUGAGGCACAGAACGAUCCGCACAGGGAAGCCAGUUUCCACGAUGGCGAGAGGGGCACCGGAGGUGACAACCGCGACAAGGACCUAAGGACCAUCCUUCCGACAAGUUUUAGAACUGAGUCUCUUCAGGAAAAAUGGGCUCCAUAAGAAGUGGCAUCGUCCUCGAAUGGAAAGAUUCUCAGGCUGAUGGAGUGAGUGACGGAGUGGGUUGCCAACUAUAGUGACUCCACUCAGCGUGCAGGAUGGCUGCGGGGAAUAUAUUCAGACAUGCCCAGAGAAGCCUGCCCAGGGGGAAACACAUACCUUUGAGGUUUAAAUCAGGUGUCAUAGAAAAAUCAAUACUGAGCCACGGAUUAUUG
rnacentral:lncRNA from 1 species